UACGUAGGGUGCAAGCGUUAAUCGGAAUUACUGGGCGUAAAGCGUGCGCAGGCGGUUCGUUGUGUCGGCGGUGAAAGCCCCGGGCUCAACCUGGGAAUGGCCGUUGAAACUGGCGAACUGGAGUGUGGCAGAGGGGGGGUAGAAUUCCACGUGUAGCAGUGAAAUGCGUAGAGAUCUGGAAGAACACCAAAGGCGAAGGCAGCGUCCUGGGAAGCAUCUGACGCUCAGGUGCGAAAGCUAGGGGAGCGAACGGG
rnacentral:rRNA from 1 species